rnacentral:rRNA from 1 species
GUGGGGGGAGUAUUGCACAAUGGGGGGAACCCUGAUGCAGCGACGCCGCGUGGGUGAAGGAGCGUUUCGGCGCGUAAAGCCCUAUCGGCAGGGAAGAAGAUGACGGUACCUGACC